GAGUUUGAUCUUGGCUCAGAUUGAACGCUGGCGGAAUGCUUUACACAUGCAAGUCGAGCGGCAGCGCGGGGCAACCUGGCGGCGAGCGGCGAACGGGUGAGUAAUGCAUCGGAACAUGUCCAUGUCGUGGGGGAUAGCCCGGCGAAAGCCGGAUUAAUACCGCAUACGCCCGAGAGGGGAAAGUGGGGGACUCGAAAGGGCCUCACGCGAUUGGGUUGGCCGAUGUCCGAUUAGCUAGUUGGCGGGGUAAUGGCCCACCAAGGCGAUGAUCGGUAGCUGGUCUGAGAGGAUGAUCAGCCACACUGGGACUGAGACACGGCCCAGACUCCUACGGGAGGCAGCAGUGGGGAAUUUUGGACAAUGGGGGCAACCCUGAUCCAGCCAUUCCGCGUGAGUGAAGAAGGCC
rnacentral:rRNA from 1 species